GUGCUUUGUGAUGCGCUCUCAAAGAGUCGAGUUGUUUGGGAAUGCAGCUCUAAAUGGGUGGUAAAUUCCAUCUAAAGCUAAAUAUUGGCGAGAGACCGAUAGCGAACAAGUACCGUGAGGGAAAGAUGAAAAGCACUUUGGAAAGAGAGUUAAACAGUACGUGAAAUUGCUGAAAGGGAAACGCUUGAAGUCAGUCGCGUUGGCCGGGACUCAGCCUUGCUUUUUGCUUGGUGCAUUUUCCGGUCGACGGGCCAGCAUCGAUUUUGACCGCCGGAAAAGGGCUAGGGAAAUGUGGCACCUUCGGGUGUGUUAUAGUCUCUAGUCGCAUGCGGCGGUUGGGAUCGAGGAACGCAGCGCGCCGCAAGGCAGGGGUUCGCCCACUUUCGCGCUUAGGAUGCUGGCAUAAUGGCUUUAAACGACCCGUC
rnacentral:rRNA from 1 species